GGAACGUCAAAUGGAUGAUCAUGAUUUCGAGAAAGUCUUAUGCUAUGCUUUUUAGCUGCUUUUUUCUAGUCUGGCUCUGAUAAAGAUGGGGUGUUACCCGCUCAGGGCAUGUGCUGCUAUGAUGAAGUGGAUUUAUUUCUGGUCAUGUCCUCUUCCGGUCUUUUGACUGUAGUCCCUGAUGGGUUGUAGUGUAAUUAUUUGUUGAUUUUGCUCUGUAAUGCCCAAUGGAAUUACACUGUAUGUUAAUUGGUCUUACAUAGUAAUUUUUAGCGGGUUCACACACUAAUUUACAAAGUAGUUUACAUAGUAAUUUUAGCACUUCCUUACUGUUGGUUAGUGUUCAUUUUUGUUGGCUUGUUCAAAACUGCAAUUCUUAAAGUGUAAUUCUAGGUAGAUUUACAGUGAAAUUCUAAGUGGAUUUACACUGUAAUUCCUACUAUAUUUACAUUAUAAUUCUAGGUCGAUUUUACAGUGUAAAUCUAGGUAUUUACACUGUAAUUCCUACUAGAUUUACACUGUAAUUCCUACUAUAUUCACAAUGUAAUUCCAGGUCAAUUUUACAUUGUAAAUCUAGGUAGAAUUACAGUGUAAUUCUAGGUAGAUUUAUACUGUAAUUCCUACUGGAUUUACACUGUAAUUCCUACCGUAUUUUCAGUGUUUUUCUUAGUGUAGUAGAUUUUACAGUGGAUUCAAACUGGAUUUACAGCGGUAUUUAAAGUGUAAAUCUUAGUGUAAUUUUAGUUGAUUUUAUAGUGUAAUUUUAGUGGUUUUUGUCAUUUUCAUUUUAAUUGUGUGUGGUUAGUAGAUUAGAGAUGGGAAAGUAUUGCCCGGGUUCUUUUUCUCCUUUCUCGCUGCUUUGCCUAUGUGGGUUGAAAAGAGUUGGGGUGUGGAUCCAAUAACAUCUUGGUGCGGGUCUGUUUAAAAGCGGUAUGAACCACCUGAAGUGGCUCAGUAAAAGAGUAUGAUCCACUCUAUUAUUUGUCAAGACUCUAGUUAAAGAAAGCAUGUUUUUGUUUUUGUUUUCAGGAUUGUUUUCUGCUACUAGAAAGCCAUAUGUUAAGGAAUCAACUUCAUCUUCAUUGAGGUACAUCGCAUGUCCUUUGAUGCUGGAUUUCAUUGCAUUUGGUUUGAUUGUAGGCACCUGCACUCAAUAUUUUGAGUAAAUUAUCUAUUAAUGCAAACAAGUAUUCAGUUUUGAACUAUAAAUAAGUGCAGAGUAAUUUUGCAGAGAAGGUCCCAGUAAUUUGAUCUAACAGUCACAAAUUUCUCCUUUUAGUUCUGAACUAUAAAUAUGUAAUCAUUUUUAUAGAUUCUUUUUGUUUGUUGCUACUUGUGUGAGUGCCUUCUAGUGUGAAUGUUUUUAGCCUGAUUGUGUUUGUCCUUUUUCAUGUUAAUUUCAAUUUUUAGUGCUCAUGCUAAUGCAUGUCAAUAUUCAGUGUAAGCAAGCAUCCGAUCGUAGUAGUUUACACUUCUAAAGUUACUUAAAUUCAGUCCUUCAAUCACAACUAUUUAAGAACAGGUAGAAAGUGUCUAAAACAAGUAGAUUAAAGUGUCUUAACAGUGUUUGGUUUUUCAGUUUCCAAAGGGUGUGAAAAUAGUCAUAUUUUCUCUCAACUGGAGCAAUCCUCCCCCUUUUAUGUUUUAACUAGUUUUCCCAAAAUGGAAUUGCUAGCUUCCUGAGCAUGUUUUGAUCCCUGUAGUGUGUUUAUUUCUGCAGAUCCAGAAAUCUAUGAUCUGGGCAUGUAGUUUUCAGUUUUCUUGUGAUCAUAGACAACUAGUUCAUGCGACCAUAUCCUAGUUGUUCCUAGGGUUUCUCCUGUUUCAUGCUUUUGUGUGAUUAUGUUCUUAUUUUCGAUCUGUGUAGAUUUUGUGCUUAACUUAUCCUAUGUAAUGAUUCACUAGCUAGAGGUAUGUUCUUUCUUCCAGAUUUGUUCAGGCAGGAGAGAGACGACAGGAGGUGAUGAAUGCACAGGAGACCGGGGGGGUGUUACCUGUGAUUUUUUUUUGCUUCUCCAGCCACGUUUGUGUCUAGAACUCUAGAUCAUGGAGGAAUCGCCCUCUCUGGUGGCGCUUCUCUGGGGUAAAUUUAGCACUUUCUCAGUGGAAUUGCAGUGUAAUUCUUUUGUGUGUUUUAAGUGGUAUUUACGGUGUACUUUUAGUGUAAUUACUGUGCAUUUUCAGUGAAAUUUGCACUGUAAUUGUUAGUGGAAUUUACACUGUAAAUGUUAGUGGGUUUACAGUGUACUUCUAGUGGAUUUUUGCUCUGUAUUUGCAAGUGGCAUUUUUAGUGGAAUUACUGUGUAUUUCCAUGGUUUUUACACUGUAAUUAUUAGUGUAAUUUUGGGCCUUUGUAUAGUUGAUUCACAGCAGCAGCAACUGUAAUUUUUCUGUAAUUCGGCUUGUGGUUAGAUGCCAUCAGUUUUGGUCCUUUUCAUCCUCCUGUAGUUAGCUUAGUCCACCUUUUGUUAGAUUUUAACCCUUUUAG
rnacentral:lncRNA from 1 species